UACGAAGGGGACUAGCGUUGUUCGGAAUCACUGGGCGUAAAGCGCACGUAGGCGGAUGUGUCAGUCAGGGGGUGAAAUCCCGGGGCUCAACCUCGGAACUGCCUUUGAUACAGCACGUCUCGAGUCCGGAAGAGGUGGGUGGAAUUCCUAGUGUAGAGGUGAAAUGCGCAGAUAUCAGGAAGGACACCCGUGGCGAAGGCGGCUCUCUGGGACGGUACUGACGCUGAGACGCGAAAGCGUGGGGAGCGAACAGG
rnacentral:rRNA from 1 species